AAAGGGUGCGUAGGCGGUCUCGUAAGUCAGUGGUGAAAUCCGGCAGCUCAACUGUCGAUGUGCCAUUGAUACUGCGUGACUUGAGUACAGACGAGGUAGGCGGAAUUGACGGUGUAGCGGUGAAAUGCUUAGAUAUCGUCAAGAACACCGAUAGCGAAGGCAGCUUACUAGACUGUAACUGACGCUGAUGCACGAAAGUGUGGGGAUCAAACAGGAUUAGAUACCCGGGU
rnacentral:rRNA from 1 species